UGAGCAAUCUGCCCUUCUCAUCGGAAUAAGCGUUGGAAACGACGUCUAAUGCCGAAUACGACCUCCUUUCGCAUGAUCGGAGGUGGAAAGCUCCGGCGGAGAAGGAUGAGCUCGCGGCCUAUCAGCUAGUUGGUGUGGGUAAUGGCCCACCAAGGCGACGACGGGUAGCCGGCCUGAGAGGGUGUCCGGCCACACUGGGACUGAGAUACGGCCCAGACUCCUACGGGAGCAG
rnacentral:rRNA from 1 species